GAUGAACGCUAGCGGCAGGCCUAACACAUGCAAGUCGAGGGGUAACAUAGAAAAGCUUGCUUUUCUGAUGACGACCGGCGCACGGGUGCGUAACGCGUAUACAACCUACCUUUUAGCGGGGAAUAGCCCAGGGAAACUUGGAUUAAUGCCUCAUAGUAUAUAAGCUUCUCCUGAAGUUUAUAUUUAAACAUUUAUGGCUAUUAGAUGGGUAUGCGUCCUAUUAGUUAGUUGGUAAGGUAACGGCUUACCAAGGCAGCGAUAGGUAGGGGUCCUGAGAGGGAGAUCCCCACACUGGUACUGAGACACGGACCAGACUCCUACGGGAGGCAGCAGUGAGGAAUAUUGGACAAUGGGCGAGAGCCUGAUCCAGCCAUGCCGCGUGCAGGAAGACUGCCCUAUGGGUUGUAAACUGCUUUUACAGAGGAAGAACCACCCCCACGUGUGGGGGUUUGACGGUACUCUGCGAAUAAGGAUCGGCUAACUCCGUG
rnacentral:rRNA from 1 species